rnacentral:lncRNA from 10 species
GCCUGUAAUCCCAGCUACUCGGGAGGCUGCUACAGUCAGCUGGGGGUUAGCUGAAGGUUUGUUGAGGUUUGAUUUCACUGAGCUUGCAUAGGCUCUUUCACAUGUUUUAGACUUUGGCUGGGAUCAACCAGAUGACCAAUUCUGAUCCAAGUGAUCUCUGGUCUUCCAGGAAGCUAGUCUGGCUUAUUCAUACGAAGUUUGCAAAAGUCCAAGAAAGCAAGCAGAGGCAUGCAUGCAAGGCCUCUUGAAUCCGAAGCUAGGAACUACUAGAACAUCACUUCUGCCUCAUUCUAGCAGCCAAAGCAAGUCACCAGACCAGUUUAGAUUCAAGGUAAGGAAAGAAUCUCUACCUGUUAAAGAAAAGACCUGCAAAGUCAUUCUGCUAAGGGCAUUAAUAUAACGAAAUGUGAAUAAUUCUGGCCACUUUUCCAGUAUACCAUAUGUGGUCUUACAUAGUUGCAAACAACUAUUAGCAACUUUCCCCAGCAACCUGCCACUCUGUUUUUCCCUAAAGAAUCAAGGGCUUUUGUCGAGAUCAUAAUAAUAUUAGAAACACUUUGUUACAUGAAGUUUCAAGUCGUUUGCAUAUAAAUUGAAUCUUCUGUUGCUAUCUCUGUGGCAUAUUUAACAAUCUCUGGCUCUUCCAGCUGCCUGUGUUGUAGAAUAAAGAUGAAAAAUGAAACCUUACAGUGCAAUUGAUCUACUCAUUCAAGAUCUCAGAAGUCCAGAAGUGGUGGCUUAUGCUUGUAAUCUUAGCACUUUGGGAUGCCAAGGUGGGUGGAUCACUUGAGGUCAGGAGUUCGAGACCAGCCUGGCCAACAUGAUGAAACCACAUCUCUACCAAAAAUUAGUCGGGGGUGGUGGUGGGCAUUUGUAAUCCCAGCUACUCCGGAGGCUGAGGCAAGAGAAUCACUUAAAUCUGGGAGGCAGAGGUUGCAGUGAACUGAGAUCAUGCCACUACACUCCAGCCUGGGCGAUGCAGUGAGACUCCGUCUCAAAAAA